rnacentral:rRNA from 1 species
CCUACGGGAGGCAGCAGUGGGGAAUAUUGCACAAUGGGGGAAACCCUGAUGCAGCGACGCCGCGUGAGUGAAGCAGUAAUUCGUUAUGUAACGCUCUAUCAGCAGGGAAGAAAAUGACGGUACCUUAGUAAGAAGCCCCGGCUAACUACGUGCCAGCAGCCGCGGUAAUACGUAGGGGGUAAGCGUUAUCCGGCUUUACUGGGUGUAAAGGGAGCGUAGACGGCAGUGCAAGUCUGGAGUGAAAGGCGGGGGCUCAACCCCCGGACUGCUCUGGAAACUGUACGGCUUGAGUGCAGGAGAGGUAAGUGGAAUUCCUAGUGUAGCGGUGAAAUGCGUAGAGAUUAGGAGGAACACCAGUGGCGAAGGCGGCUUACUGGACUGUAACUGACGUUGAGGCUCGAAAGCGUGGGGAGCAAACAGGAUUAGAUACCCGGGUAGUC